GUGAAUGUAGCUUAGUGGUAGAGUGCUUGUCUACCAUGCAUGAAGCCCUGGGUUCAAUUCCUCAGUACCACA
rfam:Dipodomys ordii contig_37196, whole genome shotgun sequence.